rnacentral:rRNA from 1 species
AUGGCGACCGUGAUGGAGGAGGCUGGGGCGGUGGUGAUGGGCGGAACCGGUGAGGAGGAGGUUGUUGCUGCGCCGGAGAAGGUGGAGGAGGUGAAGGAGGCGGGUGCGGGCGGGGUGGACGUGGAGGUCGCCGGCGGGGAGGCGAAGAAGGCGGAGGAGGAGCAAGGGGAGCAGGGCAAGGGGACGGAGAAGAAGCCGAGGAGAAGGAAGCCCCGGUCGGCGGGGCCGCACCACCCGCCCUACUUCGAGAUGAUCAAGGAGGCGAUCAUGGCGGCGGGCGACGGCAAGGCGGGGGCGAGCGCGUACGCGAUCGCGAUCGCGAAGCGCGUCGGGGAGCGGCACGGCGAGGCGCUCCCGGGCAACUACCGCAAGGUGCUGGCCACGCAGCUCCGGGGCUUCGCCGCCAAGGGCCGGCUCGUCCAGGUCAAGGCCUCCUUCCGGCUCGCCCCCGCCGAGGAGAAGAAGGCCCUGCAGGCGGCGACGCCCAAGUCCAAGAAGAGGACGACCACGGCCAAGAAGACCGCGUCGAAGAAUGUGGCCCCGGCGCCGGCGCGCGCGAAGAGGGCGAAGAAGGCCAACAAGGCCAGCGCCUGA